rnacentral:rRNA from 1 species
GACGAACGCUGGCGGCGUGCUUAACACAUGCAAGUCGAACGGAAAGGCCCUGCUUUUGUGGGGUGCUCGCGUGGCGAACGGGUGAGUAACACGUGAGUAACCUGCCCUUGACUUUGGGAUAACUUCAGGAAACUGGUGCUAAUACCUGCUAGGAGCUCCUGCUGCAUGGUGGGGGUUGGAAAGUUUCGGCUGUUGGGGAUGGACUCGCGGCUUAUCAGCUUGUUGGUGGUGUAGUGGCUUACCAAGGCUUUGACGGGUAGCCGGCAUGAGAGGGUGACCGGCCACAAGGGGACUGAGAGACGGACCAGACUCCUACGGGAGGCAGAAGUGGGGAAUAUUACACAAUGGGCGGAAGCCUGAUGCAGCAACGAAGCGUGCGGGAUGAAGGACUUCGGGUGGUAAACCGCUUUCGCCUGUGACGAAGCGUGAGUGACGGUAAUGGGUAAAGAAGCACCGGCUAACUACGUG